rnacentral:lncRNA from 1 species
GUAGACAAACUCAAAAUGGGAGACAUUGGACAAGAUAACUGGCCAAACUCUUCCGAAGUGUCAAAGUCAUGAUGUCAAAGAGAGAGGAGAGACCUGAUUCCUGCUCCAGGACACCUCAGAGACAGGACAACUAAAUGAAAACCCAGCUACAGCAGAUCAGCAAGAGAAUCAGGCUGUCUGGUUUGGAAAAUAAAUUUUGACACUGCUCUGUCCUCCCUGUCCUGUAACGGGCCAACCUCCCAAAGAUGCAUAAAGACACCUUUGCCGUUGACCAGGCAGACCCUGAAUCCACAGGACAUAGAGAGAAAGGUGCUCUGAACACUGAUCUGGAUAAGCAUUGCUGGGUCAGUGCAGAGGCGUCCAUUUCCCCAGUCUGCCGAGCUGGCCUAAAGCUGAGGACCUCUUAGUGGGAGCUGAGGACAUGUGCCUGAAGAGGCAACCCCUUGACUGAUGGAAAUUGGAGUCUGAGUUCCAUGUGGGGGACUGGGAAGCACAGCAAGGUCUGAAAUGGGAGACCCAGGGGAGGGCAGAGAGGACCAAAGGAGGAAGGGGGUCUACAAAGGAGGAAAGGGGUCUACAGUGUGGGAAACAGCCUGGAUGCAACAGCCGGGGGAGGAGGCCUGCUCUGGCCCCAGUGGCCCUUCUAAGCAGGAAAGGCAGCUGGCCAGACCUCUUCUGUGUUGUUCACUCUGAUUUUAUCCUUUAUCUUCCCCUCCCAACCUCACCUCCUUUCUAACCCCAAAGCCAUGCAGCUAAUAUGACUAAGAUUGCUGGGCGUUUGCUUGGAAAUGCAAAUGAGAAUUUCUGGUAGUUUCCUAGUUUCCUUGAUCUCCUUUGUCAAGUUUAUUGAGGGGAAAGGACUCUCGGUUAAAAAAAAAAAAAAAGAAAAUCCAGAUUUUGAACACCAGCUCUCUUUAAUGCCAACUUCCUGAGGAGCUGCCCAGCUCUGUAACAACCUGGAACAGAGGCGCCAUCACAGACUUGGCUCUGACGGGCGGCACAGCAAGAAGCCUUGCUCGCAUGUGGGACGUGCCCGUUCUGGCCUGGAGAGAGGGCCCGGAGACACCACCUCGCCACCGCCACCUGAUUACUCAUUGUCACCAAUGAGAUGACAAGAACUGAUGACGCAUUUCCCUUUUGCUGCACUCUGACACCUCAGAGACCACAGCAGAGAAAAAGCUGCUUUUGUAAAACUGGAACAUGAACUACGCGGACGCCCCAGAGGAGGUCUCUGCUGCCCUCUGUUGCUGGCUUCUUAGUAACCCUGACCAUUUUUAAGAAUACAGUAUUUGGUUUCAGUAACUUUAUUAUAUGAAAAGUAUGCUCGGAGGAAAAAAUGUGUCAAAUUUAAUCAGUCGUGGGUACUAUCAACAUUUUAAAUUGUUGCCAAUCUAAUAGAGGAAAAUGGUAUCUCAUUGCUGUUUUAAUUUUCAUUUUAAAAAUUCUAAGUGAGGCUCAAAAUAGUUUAUUUUUCCAGUUUCCUGCCAGUGGGUAUACUUUUCUUUUUUUGUUUUUUUAAUCUUUUUUUAUUGAUUUAGAAAAGUUUUUGCUGUAAAUGCGUUUCUUUUUAUACUAAUGCUUUUCUCUGUUAUAUAGUCAAAUUUAUCAGUCUUUUCUUUAUGACUUCCGGCUUUCAUGUUCCUUAGGCUAUGGAUUUUUUUAAAUGCAUGCAUAUAUUUAGUAUAGUUUUUAAUAUUUAAAACUUUAAUCAAUCUGGAAUUUAUUUUUAUUGUAAAGUGGGAAAUAGAAGUACAGCUUUAUGUUUCUUUGUUUUUAAAAUGGCUUGCAAGUUGUACCAAUAUUCUUUCUUAAAUGCUCCAUUUUAUGGCUUACUUGAAGUGCAUUUUUGCUUCUAAUGAGACCUGACUUUCUGGCCUAUUUCAGGACUUUACAUUGUUCUGUUGGUCUGUUUUUCUCCUCCUGUAUCAGUACCUAUAAUGUGUAACUACUAGACAGGUAUUAAUGUAAUAGAAUACAUUUCAAUAUUAUAUAGGGCUAGUUUCCCCUCUUGACUAUUCUUAUUAUACAUUUUUUAUCUUUCUAGAUAAACUUUAAAAUCAAGUUUU